GCUGGGUGUGGUGGUGCAUGCCUGUAGUCUCAGCUACUUGGAAGGUUGAGGUGUGAGGAUUAUUUGAGCCCCAAGAGUUUGAAGCCAGCCUGGGCAACACAGCAAGAUCCUGUCUCUA
rnacentral:sRNA from 1 species